GUCCCUGCAGCGCGGUGGAUAUCGAAUUGGAUUUUUAAUCCAAAGGUCGUGGGUUCGAAUCCCACCAGGGAUG